UCAGAGUCUGGCCUUUUUUGGUUACACACAAAACCCUCACUUUUGGUCUCAACAUCUUGAAGGUCUAACUGACCGUCCCUAUAGCAAGUGGCAAAGGGCUUGGUGGUUGGUACCCGAGAUCCAAAUUCGAAUCCUAGUUGAUUCACAUUUCUAGCUAAGUUUAUUUCUAAAUGAAAUAAAUGAAAUGGGUAGCGUGCUACCUAUCUCUCUCAAAAAAAAAAAAAAAAAAAAAAAACCCAUCUUGAAGGUCUAAGCAUUUGCUCAACUCAGUUUUAGUGGUAAAAGUAGAGGCUGAGCUGCAUUCAGAAUUGGAUUGGAUUGGCACAAUGAAAGAUGGAUGUUGGGGAAGAAGGAUGGUUUAGUAAUCAAGAGGAGUAAAAGUCAUGACACAUAGGGGUUAGACCCAUGAGGUGGAAAUAUUUCAUACUAGUGUUAUUUAUUAAUUUGGUCAUAGUCCAUUAACCAACACAGAGUUCAGACCAACCUCAGUUGCUUGAAGCCUUGAACUAACAGUAAACAAAAUUUUUUUGGCCCGACUGAAGCUACUUAUUCAGUUAAUUAGUACUCUAAAACUUGAUGAUUUACAUUUCUCUUGUAUAAUACAUAAGAAGAACGUUUCUGAUAUUUAUUUUUGGUUUUUUAGGUUCAUAUUAAAUAGUUUACAUUUCGUAUUAUGGUUUUUACUAAUCAAUUUGGAAUUUUUGUUUUCUCUGUGUUAUUUGGAACUCUUGUAAAUUAAAUUCUGAAUUUUCAUAUUCUGUUCAUACGUAAGUUCAAACUUGCAUGGCACGUAUGCAUGUGUCCAUAUACAUGUAUGUAAGUAGAAACGAAUAUAGUAUGUAUUUAUCUAUGCACAUGAACUUGGCCCACAUAAUCAAACUUACAAGACAACUUAAAUGGAAACUGUAGCAAGAUGCUUAAACCUGACAUGUUAGGGCCGGGUAUAAUAGCUUCCCUUUCAUCCUGAAUACAACUCCUGCCUCAUAACUCUUUGCUGUGACUCACACCCUAACACAUGAUAGCUUUUAAUUGUGUGGCAUAAAUGCCCCCCCAUCUAAAAGUUUCUAGCAGACAGAAAGGAUGCAUUUAAAGCUAAACUAUCCCAACAAAUGAAACAAUAUACAUGUCUUUUGAAGGGGACAGAGUGAGGUGGUGGAGUCCUCAUAAAUGCAUGCUUUGUUUGAGAGAGAGAGAGAGAGAGAGAGAGAGAGAGAGAGAGUACUUAGUGGAAUAUUGGUUGCUGUGGGUAGACAAGGCUAGGUGGCCUCCACAAGGGAAAGGAGGCAUGCAUGCAUGAAUGCCAAUCAUAACCAUAGCCUUUGAGCCCCUCUAUGACCCAUGUGGACACCAUCAACACAUGCACUACUUGCACGCUUUAGUUUUAGAGCAUUUUGCAUUGUACAUUCUUAUAGUUUCUCAGAUGUCGAAGGAAGCCUAGUUAUUGUGAGGGCCAAGUAGCUUGCACUGCAAUUUUUAAGCAUUCAUUAGUAUAUAUAUAUGUCGACACCACAGAGAGGGCUAUGUUAUUUUUCUUUUCUUUUUUUUAUUUCUUAAUUUUAUUUUAACUAAAUAUAUAUACCUCAAAUCUUUAUAUUGGUUUUAAGUCCAAUUGGUGGUUGAAAGGGCAAUGAGACGUCAAAGAAAAGCCAAAAGGUACUGUGUGUUGUGGCUUAUAAUUUGAGAAAACCUAUGCCCUUUAUUUCUUUUGCGAUGAAUGGGAGAAUAUCAGUGGAUGAAUAUUAUUUCACAGAAAUAAUUAGUCUUGAUCAUUCCACUUAAUAAUGCCUAUUACUGUUGCCUUUCCCCCCCCCAUCUAUUUGUUUAAUCUACCUCCAGCAGAACACCUUGUGUUUUUUUUUUUUCUAAAAAAAACAAUCUAUAACUUUUCCAUUGCACUGAAAGGGUUAUUUAGAUUCACCACUAAGCUACUUAAAUAUAUAUGGAGUGGAAGUCUCUACUCUAAAAUCAAUAAAGAGUUCGACUAUUAGCUAGCCAUUGAUCACCCACCAACAAAUAUCUAAGUUACACUGAUCUACUAGGAGAUAUUCAUAUAGAUAAUUUCAGGUUUCAAUAUAAAUAUUGCAGAUGAAAUUAUUGCUUUCUUGUACUCCCAUCUACUAUCUCUCUCUCUCUCUCUCUCUCUCUCUCUCUCUCUCUUCCUUCUAUACAUUUAUUUGUGUAGCGCAAAUUUACAAAGUCUACUGCAGCAAAAUUAACUCUUUCAGAAAAGUGUCUCAUAUACUUUUGAACAUUUCCUCUCUCUUCUCUCUUCAGAAGCGCGAAGACACAUUCAUUGCUAUGAGCAUGGAAGGACAAACGCAGGACAAGCAAGUUGCAUGCAACAUUAUCACAUACCAGGAGAAGGUACAUACAAAACUUUUACACUGCAUUAGUCUCCAACAUUUACUACAUUCACGAGAGGCAAAAAGAACGUAGGCAUUUUAUUAGUGGAAAAACAAACAUACACCAUGAAAUUUUCACACAUAGUACCAUACAAAAAGGCCCAUAUGAUCCAUAAAGCUUUCUAUGCCUUAACAGCCUCCAUUGGUCACGAGAAGAAUAUUUUACUGUCAUAUCAUCCAUCACCAUGUGAAAACAAGAGGAAACGGAUGAUCUACAGAGGCGCUAUCAUAUCUUUCUGAACGCAUACUACCAAAGCUAAGGAAACUCUUAACAGAGUGACAAAAUAUCAAACCUUAUAUACCGCAUAUGAUACAAAAUAAUAAUGAUUGGUCUUGGUCUCUCUUAAAUAUUUUUCUUCUUUUCUUUUUCACUCUUGGAGACUUAUGAUGGUAAAUUGUAGAAAUUGAUGCUCGACAGAGGUGAUGUAUAAGCUCAAGAGGGAUAGACGGGAGUAGGGGGUGAGAGUUAGGAGGAUAGAGAGAAAUGUUGAGACUGGGAACUCAGUCGGAAAGAUGUAGGAGGAAGACGUGGGAAGAGAAUAAGACGAGAAUGAUUUGAGGAGAGUGAAGUUUUAGGGGAUGGAGAGAAGGUCUUACAAGGUCAAGAAAAAGUUUGGAAAGAGAAAAGCGUGAAGAUGUUAAGAAGGUUAAGGAAAUGGGUGAUUGUGGGAGAGGAAAGGAAAUGGGUGAUUGUGGGAGAUGGAAGGGUCAUAAGCUCAAUCAGGAUAGCACCGUACAGGACUUAACGCUGCCUAAAAUUGGCUAGAACUUGAGGAGAUCCUUGCAAGCUGAUGUUGCCUUCAUGGAGGAUCUGCAUCCUUUGAUCAUAAAACAAGAUUUCUAGAUGGCUUACGAUAAGGUCGAUAAUAGGAGACUUGAUGUUAAUGAACCCACCCAUUGAAGUUGGUCCAGAAUUAGCUGUUUGCUGAAAAACAUGUAAAAGGUGAAUUAGAAGCAAGUAAAAUUAAUCAAGCAUAAGUAGCUAACAUACAGAUUGAUAUUGUUUCCAUUUCAUAGUUCUGUAUUUUACACAUACCAUAUGGCUGAUAGAGCUAGAAUUUAGAUAGAAGAGGUGGCUGGAUUCCAGAUUUUCCCACCACAAAUGUUUAAGUGCCUGCAUGGGAAAGAAGAUGACAUAUUUUAAGAUAGAGAAAAAUACAUGGAAGGAACAAAUAUGUGCUAAAACUUCAUUAGCCACUCCACACACCCAUAGAGGAAAAUCUCACUCCUACUCAUGAAUUCUCGCUCACAUAGCAAAACAAGAGAUAAACCUACACAUCAAAACUUAUUUCUAACGUAUGAGUGAAUUAAAAAGCAAAACACAUUACUCUGAGGGGGGAAAUGGAUAGAGAAAGGCAUCUAAUUACCUUGUAGACGCGCAUAGAAGGAGAAGGGGAUAGAAGAGUUCGUGAAGCAAUAGCGUAAAGAUAUGUAGUCAGAAGCUGCAGCAGAGAGGAGAUUUCUCGAGUGAAAGGGAGUUUGUGAGUUGGAUAGAUAUUAAGAGGAGUAAAGGAGCCAAAAUGGUUGUGGAACAGUACGAGGCUUUAUCAAGAAAAAAG
rnacentral:lncRNA from 1 species